CUGACGAGUCCCAAAUAGAAGGAAACGCGCGUC
rnacentral:hammerhead_ribozyme from 1 species